rnacentral:misc_RNA from 1 species
GAUGAAGAACGUAGCGAAAUGCGAUAAGUAAUGUGAAUUGCAGAUUUCAGUGAAUCAUCGAAUCUUUGAACGCACCUUGCGCCUUGUGGUAUUCCACAAGGCAUGCCCGUUUGAGUAUCAUUAAAUCAUCAACUCUAAAACCUUUGUGGUUUUUUUUAGAGCUUGGUCUUGAGGGUUUUGCAGGCUUUUUUUUUUUUUUCGAGUCUGCUCCCUUUAAAUGCAUUAGCGAGACUUUCCUAUGCUGAACCGUCUCUUUGACGUGAUAAUUAUCUGCGUCGAAUUUUGGUUCUCGUUGGGCUUGCUUCUAAUCGUCUGUUAAAGACAAAACGGAUUUGGGUGCAUAUAUGCGCCUUUUUCCAAAACCUUUUUUUGAUCUCAAAUCGGGUAGGACUACCCGCUGAACUUAAGCAUAUCAAUAAGCGGAGGA